rnacentral:rRNA from 1 species
GACGAACGCUGGCGGCGUGCCUAAUACAUGCAAGUUGAGCGCUGAAGGUUGGUACUUGUACCAACUGGAUGAGCAGCGAACGGGUGAGUAACGCGUGGGGAAUCUGCCUUUGAGCGGGGGACAACAUUUGGAAACGAAUGCUAAUACCGCAUAAAAACUUUAAACACAAGUUUUAAGUUUGAAAGAUGCAAUUGCAUCACUCAAAGAUGAUCCCGCGUUGUAUUAGCUAGUUGGUGAGGUAAAGGCUCACCAAGGCGAUGAUACAUAGCCGACCUGAGAGGGGGAUCGGCCACAUUGGGACUGAGACACGGCCCAAACUCCUACGGGAGGCAGCAGUAGGGAAUCUUCGGCAAUGGACGAAAGGCUGACCGAGCAACGCCGCGUGAGUGAAGAAGGUCUUCGGAUCGUAAAACUCUGUUGGUAGAGAAGAACGUCGGUGAGAGUGGAAAGCUCAUCAAGUGACGGUAACUACCCAGAAAGGGACGGCUAACUACGUG